CCUACGGGCGGCUGCAGUGGGGAAUAUUGGACAAUGGGCGAAAGCCUGAUCCAGCCAUGCCGCGUGUGUGAAGAAGGCCUUCGGGUUGUAAAGCACUUUCAGUGGGGAAGAAAGCCUUGGGGCUAAUACCCUCGAGGAAGGACAUCACCCACAGAAGAAGCACCGGCUAACUCCGUGCCAGCAGCCGCGGUAAUACGGAGGGUGCGAGCGUUAAUCGGAAUUACUGGGCGUAAAGCGCGCGUAGGCGGUCUGAUAAGCCGGUUGUGAAAGCCCCGGGCUCAACCUGGGAACGGCAUCCGGAACUGUCAGGCUAGAGGGCAGGAGAGGAAGGUAGAAUUCCCGGUGUAGCGGUGAAAUGCGUAGAGAUCGGGAGGAAUACCAGUGGCGAAGGCGGCCUUCUGGACUGACACUGACGCUGAGGUGCGAAAGCGUGGGUAGCAAACAGGAUUAGAUACCCUAGUAGUC
rnacentral:rRNA from 1 species